UAAGGAUGAGUGACAGGUCCUCAGUUUUCU
rnacentral:piRNA from 1 species